rnacentral:lncRNA from 1 species
CCUCACAAAGGCGGCGGAAGGUGAUCGAAUUCCGGUGAUGCGAGUUGUUCUCCGUCUAUAAAUACGCCUCGCCCGAGCUGUGCGGUAGGCAUUGAGGCAGCCAGCGCAGGGGCUUCUGCUGAGGGGGCAGGCGGAGCUUGAGGAAACCGCAGAUAAGUUUUUUUCUCUUUGAAAGAUAGAGAUUAAUACAACUACUUAAAAAAUAUAGUCAAUAGGUUACUAAGAUAUUGCUUAGCGUUAAGUUUUUAACGUAAUUUUAAUAGCUUAAGAUUUUAAGAGAAAAUAUGAAGACUUAGAAGAGUAGCAUGAGGAAGGAAAAGAUAAAAGGUUUCUAAAACAUGACGGAGGUUGAGAUGAAGCUUCUUCAUGGAGUAAAAAAUGUAUUUAAAAGAAAAUUGAGAGAAAGGACUACAGAGCCCCGAAUUAAUACCAAUAGAAGGGCAAUGCUUUUAGAUUAAAAUGAAGGUGACUUAAACAGCUUAAAGUUUAGUUUAAAAGUUGUAGGUGAUUAAAAUAAUUUGAAGGCGAUCUUUUAAAAAGAGAUUAAACCGAAGGUGAUUAAAAGACCUUGAAAUCCAUGACGCAGGGAGAAUUGCGUCAUUUAAAGCCUAGUUAACGCAUUUACUAAACGCAGACGAAAAUGGAAAGAUUAAUUGGGAGUGGUAGGAUGAAACAAUUUGGAGAAGAUAGAAGUUUGAAGUGGAAAACUGGAAGACAGAAGUACGGGAAGGCGAAGAAAAGAAUAGAGAAGAUAGGGAAAUUAGAAGAUAAAAACAUACUUUUAGAAGAAAAAAGAUAAAUUUAAACCUGAAAAGUAGGAAGCAGAAGAAAAAAGACAAGCUAGGAAACAAAAAGCUAAGGGCAAAAUGUACAAACUUAGAAGAAAAUUGGAAGAUAGAAACAAGAUAGAAAAUGAAAAUAUUGUCAAGAGUUUCAGAUAGAAAAUGAAAAACAAGCUAAGACAAGUAUUGGAGAAGUAUAGAAGAUAGAAAAAUAUAAAGCCAAAAAUUGGAUAAAAUAGCACUGAAAAAAUGAGGAAAUUAUUGGUAACCAAUUUAUUUUAAAAGCCCAUCAAUUUAAUUUCUGGUGGUGCAGAAGUUAGAAGGUAAAGCUUGAGAAGAUGAGGGUGUUUACGUAGACCAGAACCAAUUUAGAAGAAUACUUGAAGCUAGAAGGGGAAGUUGGUUAAAAAUCACAUCAAAAAGCUACUAAAAGGACUGGUGUAAUUUAAAAAAAACUAAGGCAGAAGGCUUUUGGAAGAGUUAGAAGAAUUUGGAAGGCCUUAAAUAUAGUAGCUUAGUUUGAAAAAUGUGAAGGACUUUCGUAACGGAAGUAAUUCAAGAUCAAGAGUAAUUACCAACUUAAUGUUUUUGCAUUGGACUUUGAGUUAAGAUUAUUUUUUAAAUCCUGAGGACUAGCAUUAAUUGACAGCUGACCCAGGUGCUACACAGAAGUGGAUUCAGUGAAUCUAGGAAGACAGCAGCAGACAGGAUUCCAGGAACCAGUGUUUGAUGAAGCUAGGACUGAGGAGCAAGCGAGCAAGCAGCAGUUCGUGGUGAAGAUAGGAAAAGAGUCCAGGAGCCAGUGCGAUUUGGUGAAGGAAGCUAGGAAGAAGGAAGGAGCGCUAACGAUUUGGUGGUGAAGCUAGGAAAAAGGAUUCCAGGAAGGAGCGAGUGCAAUUUGGUGAUGAAGGUAGCAGGCGGCUUGGCUUGGCAACCACACGGAGGAGGCGAGCAGGCGUUGUGCGUAGAGGAUCCUAGACCAGCAUGCCAGUGUGCCAAGGCCACAGGGAAAGCGAGUGGUUGGUAAAAAUCCGUGAGGUCGGCAAUAUGUUGUUUUUCUGGAACUUACUUAUGGUUUCUCUUUUUCAGGCUUAUACUCAUGAAUCUUGUCUGAAGCUUUUGAGGGCAGACUGCCAAGUCCUGGAGAAAUAGUAGAUGGCAAGUUUGUGGGUUUUUUUUUUUUACACGAAUUUGAGGAAAACCAAAUGAAUUUGAUAGCCAAAUUGAGACAAUUUCAGCAAAUCUGUAAGCAGUUUGUAUGUUUAGUUGGGGUAAUGAAGUAUUUCAGUUUUGUGAAUAGAUGACCUGUUUUUACUUCCUCACCCUGAAUUCGUUUUGUAAAUGUAGAGUUUGGAUGUGUAACUGAGGCGGGGGGGAGUUUUCAGUAUUUUUUUUUGUGGGGGUGGGGGCAAAAUAUGUUUUCAGUUCUUUUUCCCUUAGGUCUGUCUAGAAUCCUAAAGGCAAAUGACUCAAGGUGUAACAGAAAACAAGAAAAUCCAAUAUCAGGAUAAUCAGACCACCACAGGUUUACAGUUUAUAGAAACUAGAGCAGUUCUCACGUUGAGGUCUGUGGAAGAGAUGUCCAUUGGAGAAAUGGCUGGUAGUUACUCUUUUUUCCCCCCACCCCCUUAAUCAGACUUUAAAAGUGCUUAACCCCUUAAACUUGUUAUUUUUUACUUGAAGCAUUUUGGGAUGGUCUUAACAGGGAAGAGAGAGGGUGGGGGAGAAAAUGUUUUUUUCUAAGAUUUUCCACAGAUGCUAUAGUACUAUUGACAAACUGGGUUAGAGAAGGAGUGUACCGCUGUGCUGUUGGCACGAACACCUUCAGGGACUGGAGCUGCUUUUAUCCUUGGAAGAGUAUUCCCAGUUGAAGCUGAAAAGUACAGCACAGUGCAGCUUUGGUUCAUAUUCAGUCAUCUCAGGAGAACUUCAGAAGAGCUUGAGUAGGCCAAAUGUUGAAGUUAAGUUUUCCAAUAAUGUGACUUCUUAAAAGUUUUAUUAAAGGGGAGGGGCAAAUAUUGGCAAUUAGUUGGCAGUGGCCUGUUACGGUUGGGAUUGGUGGGGUGGGUUUAGGUAAUUGUUUAGUUUAUGAUUGCAGAUAAACUCAUGCCAGAGAACUUAAAGUCUUAGAAUGGAAAAAGUAAAGAAAUAUCAACUUCCAAGUUGGCAAGUAACUCCCAAUGAUUUAGUUUUUUUCCCCCCAGUUUGAAUUGGGAAGCUGGGGGAAGUUAAAUAUGAGCCACUGGGUGUACCAGUGCAUUAAUUUGGGCAAGGAAAGUGUCAUAAUUUGAUACUGUAUCUGUUUUCCUUCAAAGUAUAGAGCUUUUGGGGAAGGAAAGUAUUGAACUGGGGGUUGGUCUGGCCUACUGGGCUGACAUUAACUACAAUUAUGGGAAAUGCAAAAGUUGUUUGGAUAUGGUAGUGUGUGGUUCUCUUUUGGAAUUUUUUUCAGGUGAUUUAAUAAUAAUUUAAAACUACUAUAGAAACUGCAGAGCAAAGGAAGUGGCUUAAUGAUCCUGAAGGGAUUUCUUCUGAUGGUAGCUUUUGUAUUAUCAAACUUUUUUCAGAUAACAUCUUCUGAGUCAUAACCAGCCUGGCAGUAUGAUGGCCUAGAUGCAGAGAAAACAGCUCCUUGGUGAAUUGAUAAGUAAAGGCAGAAAAGAUUAUAUGUCAUACCUCCAUUGGGGAAUAAGCAUAACCCUGAGAUUCUUACUACUGAUGAGAACAUUAUCUGCAUAUGCCAAAAAAUUUUAAGCAAAUGAAAGCUACCAAUUUAAAGUUACGGAAUCUACCAUUUUAAAGUUAAUUGCUUGUCAAGCUAUAACCACAAAAAUAAUGAAUUGAUGAGAAAUACAAUGAAGAGGCAAUGUCCAUCUCAAAAUACUGCUUUUACAAAAGCAGAAUAAAAGCGAAAAGAAAUGAAAAUGUUACACUACAUUAAUCCUGGAAUAAAAGAAGCCGAAAUAAAUGAGAGAUGAGUUGGGAUCAAGUGGAUUGAGGAGGCUGUGCUGUGUGCCAAUGUUUCGUUUGCCUCAGACAGAAACUUUGUCUGCGAACACUCUUUAAUGGACCAGAUCAGGAUUUGAGCGGAAGAACGAAUGUAACUUUAAGAGGCAUUUCAUCCUUCAUGAAGCCAUUCAGGAUUUUGAAUUGCAUAUGAGUGCUUGGCUCUUCCUUCUGUUCUAACUUCACAGAGAAUGCAGUUGUCUUGACUUCAGGUCUGUCUGUUCUGUUGGCAAGUAAAUGCAGUACUGUUCUGAUCCCGCUGCUAUUAGAAUGCAUUGUGAAACGACUGGAGUAUGAUUAAAAGUUGUGUUCCCCAAUGCUUGGAGUAGUGAUUGUUGAAGGAAAAAAUCCAGCUGAGUGAUAAAGGCUGAGUGUUGAGGAAAUUUCUGCAGUUUUAAGCAGUCGUAUUUGUGAUUGAAGCUGAGUACAUUUUGCUGGUGUAUUUUUAGGUAAAAUGCUUUUUGUUCAUUUCUGGUGGUGGGAGGGGACUGAAGCCUUUAGUCUUUUCCAGAUGCAACCUUAAAAUCAGUGACAAGAAACAUUCCAAACAAGCAACAGUCUUCAAGAAAUUAAACUGGCAAGUGGAAAUGUUUAAACAGUUCAGUGAUCUUUAGUGCAUUGUUUAUGUGUGGGUUUCUCUCUCCCCUCCCUUGGUCUUAAUUCUUACAUGCAGGAACACUCAGCAGACACACGUAUGCGAAGGGCCAGAGAAGCCAGACCCAGUAAGAAAAAAUAGCCUAUUUACUUUAAAUAAACCAAACAUUCCAUUUUAAAUGUGGGGAUUGGGAACCACUAGUUCUUUCAGAUGGUAUUCUUCAGACUAUAGAAGGAGCUUCCAGUUGAAUUCACCAGUGGACAAAAUGAGGAAAACAGGUGAACAAGCUUUUUCUGUAUUUACAUACAAAGUCAGAUCAGUUAUGGGACAAUAGUAUUGAAUAGAUUUCAGCUUUAUGCUGGAGUAACUGGCAUGUGAGCAAACUGUGUUGGCGUGGGGGUGGAGGGGUGAGGUGGGCGCUAAGCCUUUUUUUAAGAUUUUUCAGGUACCCCUCACUAAAGGCACCGAAGGCUUAAAGUAGGACAACCAUGGAGCCUUCCUGUGGCAGGAGAGACAACAAAGCGCUAUUAUCCUAAGGUCAAGAGAAGUGUCAGCCUCACCUGAUUUUUAUUAGUAAUGAGGACUUGCCUCAACUCCCUCUUUCUGGAGUGAAGCAUCCGAAGGAAUGCUUGAAGUACCCCUGGGCUUCUCUUAACAUUUAAGCAAGCUGUUUUUAUAGCAGCUCUUAAUAAUAAAGCCCAAAUCUCAAGCGGUGCUUGAAGGGGAGGGAAAGGGGGAAAGCGGGCAACCACUUUUCCCUAGCUUUUCCAGAAGCCUGUUAAAAGCAAGGUCUCCCCACAAGCAACUUCUCUGCCACAUCGCCACCCCGUGCCUUUUGAUCUAGCACAGACCCUUCACCCCUCACCUCGAUGCAGCCAGUAGCUUGGAUCCUUGUGGGCAUGAUCCAUAAUCGGUUUCAAGGUAACGAUGGUGUCGAGGUCUUUGGUGGGUUGAACUAUGUUAGAAAAGGCCAUUAAUUUGCCUGCAAAUUGUUAACAGAAGGGUAUUAAAACCACAGCUAAGUAGCUCUAUUAUAAUACUUAUCCAGUGACUAAAACCAACUUAAACCAGUAAGUGGAGAAAUAACAUGUUCAAGAACUGUAAUGCUGGGUGGGAACAUGUAACUUGUAGACUGGAGAAGAUAGGCAUUUGAGUGGCUGAGAGGGCUUUUGGGUGGGAAUGCAAAAAUUCUCUGCUAAGACUUUUUCAGGUGAACAUAACAGACUUGGCCAAGCUAGCAUCUUAGCGGAAGCUGAUCUCCAAUGCUCUUCAGUAGGGUCAUGAAGGUUUUUCUUUUCCUGAGAAAACAACACGUAUUGUUUUCUCAGGUUUUGCUUUUUGGCCUUUUUCUAGCUUAAAAAAAAAAAAAGCAAAAGAUGCUGGUGGUUGGCACUCCUGGUUUCCAGGACGGGGUUCAAAUCCCUGCGGCGUCUUUGCUUUGACUACUAAUCUGUCUUCAGGACUCUUUCUGUAUUUCUCCUUUUCUCUGCAGGUGCUAGUUCUUGGAGUUUUGGGGAGGUGGGAGGUAACAGCACAAUAUCUUUGAACUAUAUACAUCCUUGAUGUAUAAUUUGUCAGGAGCUUGACUUGAUUGUAUAUUCAUAUUUACACGAGAACCUAAUAUAACUGCCUUGUCUUUUUCAGGUAAUAGCCUGCAGCUGGUGUUUUGAGAAGCCCUACUGCUGAAAACUUAACAAUUUUGUGUAAUAAAAAUGGAGAAGCUCUA